GUGCACCAGGCGAGAAUACUUCACACUGUGCGAAAGCACGAUGAGGGAAUCCCAAGUGCUUGCACGUAAGUGUAAGCUGUUUCUCUGUUUAAAACGCAGAGAGAGUAAGGGCUGGGUAAGACGGGUGCCAGCCGCCGCGGUAAUACCUGCAGCUCAAGUGGUGACCGUUAUUAUUGGGCCUAAAACGUCCGUAGCCGGUUUAAUAAAUGCCUGGGUAAAUCGUGUAGCUUAACUAUACGAAUUCCGGGUAGACUGUUAAACUCGAGACCGGGAGAAGUUAGAGGUACUCCU
rnacentral:rRNA from 1 species